rnacentral:rRNA from 1 species
UAUUGGACAAUGGGCGCAAGCCUGAUCCAGCCAUGCCGCGUGUGUGAAGAAGGCCUUCGGGUUGUAAAGCACUUUCAGCGGGGAGGAAGGCUUGGAGUUAAUACCUCUGAGUACUUGACGUUACCCGCAGAAGAAGCACCGGCUAAUUUCGUGCCAGCAGCCGCGGUAAUACGAAAGGUGCGAGCGUUAAUCGGAAUUACUGGGCGUAAAGCGUGCGUAGGCGGCUAUUUAAGUCGGAUGUGAAAGCACCGGGCUCAACCUGGGAUGGUCAUCCGAUACUGGGUAGCUAGAGUGUAGUAGAGGGAGGUGGAAUUUCCGGUGUAGCGGUGAAAUGCGUAGAGAUCGGAAGGAACACCAGUGGCGAAGGCGGCCUCCUGGACUAACACUGACGCUGAGGUACGAAAGCGUGGGGAUCAAACAGG